rnacentral:rRNA from 1 species
ACGAACGCUGGCGGCAUGCCUAACACAUGCAAGUCGAACGAAGCCUUCGGGCUUAGUGGCGCACGGGUGCGUAACGCGUGGGAAUCUGCCCUUUGGUUCGGAAUAACAGUUAGAAAUGACUGCUAAUACCGGAUGAUGACUUCGGUCCAAAGAUUUAUCGCCAAAAGAGUAGCCCGCGCUGGAUUAGCUAGUUGGUGAGGUAAUGGCUCACCAAGGCGACGAUCCAUAGCUGGUCUGAGAGGACGAUCAGCCACACUGGGACUGAGACACGGCCCAGACUCCUACGGGAGGCAGCAGUUAGGAAUAUUGGACAAUGGGGGCAACCCUGAUCCAGCCAUGCCGCGUGAGUGAUGAAGGCCUUCGGGUUGUAAAGCUCUUUAGCCGAUGAUUAUAAUGACUGUAGUCGGAAAAUAAGCCCCGGCUAACUUCGU